rnacentral:tRNA from 1 species
GGUUUCGUAGUGUAGUGGUUAUCACUUUUGGUUUUGAUCCAAAUAACCGGGGUUCGAAUCCCCGCGAGACCU